GUCGAACGAUGAUCAGGAGCUUGCUCCUGUGAUUAGUGGCGAACGGGUGAGUAACACGUGAGUAACCUGCCCCUGACUCUGGGAUAAGCGUUGGAAACGACGUCUAAUACUGGAUAUGACUACUGGCCGCAUGGUCUGGUGGUGGAAAGAUUUUUUGGUUGGGGAUGGACUCGCGGCCUAUCAGCUUGUUGGUGAGGUAAUGGCUCACCAAGGCGACGACGGGUAGCCGGCCUGAGAGGGUGACCGGCCACACUGGGACUGAGACACGGCCCAGACUCCUACGGGAGGCAGCAGUGGGGAAUAUUGCACAAUGGGCGAAAGCCUGAUGCAGCAACGCCGCGUGAGGGAUGACGGCCUUCGGGUUGUAAACCUCUUUUAGUAGGGAAGAAGCGAAAGUGACGGUACCUGCAGAAAAAGCACCGGCUAACUACGUGCCAGCAGCCGCGGUAAUACGUAGGGUGCAAGCGUUGUCCGGAAUUAUUGGGCGUAAAGAGCUCGUAGGCGGUUUGUCGCGUCUGCUGUGAAAUCCCGAGGCUCAACCUCGGGCUUGCAGUGGGUACGGGCAGACUAGAGUGCGGUAGGGGAGAUUGGAAUUCCUGGUGUAGCGGUGGAAUGCGCAGAUAUCAGGAGGAACACCGAUGGCGAAGGCAGAUCUCUGGGCCGUAACUGACGCUGAGGAGCGAA
rnacentral:rRNA from 2 species